UUUCCUUGUCAAAGUCCACGAUGAUAAAAAAACCUAUACAGUAACCGAUAAAUAAUGGCAGGUAGAUAAAAAAACACAGUUGAUAAUACAAGUUACAAUAAUUAGAAUAUAAUAAGCUCCAACAUAUAUAUACAUACUGCCAAUGUCACAUAGAUAGAAGAUAUUUAUCUACAAGGUAGUAAGCGAAAUUUACAAAUUUUUUUUUCACAUGUUUGGGUCGCCAAUACACUCGCGCAAUAGUUAUCGUCCACGUACACAAUAAUAAUAAUAAUAAUUAUUACUAUUGUUGCUAUAAAUAACGUUGUUAUAAAGGUCAGGUUCAUAUUUUUACCUGCAUUACACUUUUAGUUCAUUUUACCUUGCCGUCAUAUUUAAAUAUCCAUCCAUCGAAAUGUAUCACAUUAAAUUAACCCUUUGCAUCGUUUUAAUUAGCUGUGUUUAUCUAAGCAGCGCAAACCUUGUUAAACGUCAAUUGGACAUGGAUUCAGGAUCAAUGGAUUCACUAAGCGCAGAUUCAUCCAGUCCAGAUUCAUCAGACUCAGGAUCGGAUGAAGAAUUCGAUGGAUUAUUCAUUAGACUCAGAGACUUAUUUGCAGCCAUUCCGAUAGCUAAAAUAUUCUUAAAACCUAUUACUACUCCAAUUUUCGAUGCUCUUGACAAAUAUAUUGGGUAGUUUUUUUUUUUCACAACUACGAUUUAGUUUUUUUUUUCUAAAUUAUUGACACUAAUGAAUAAUUUACUUGUUUAAUAAAUAAAUAAUAAAGGGUUUAUUUUAUUGAUAUGUAUAAAUUAAAUUUUCAUAUUUACAUGCAGGGGACAGGCGGGUAAAACGGACCGCCCCCCCAAAAAAGUAAAAAAAAAUUUUUAUUUUUAUUUUUAAAAAAUGAUAAAAUUGUUUACAUGUAAUUUUAGUCUUAGUGGAAAAGAUUUAACAAAUAAAGAUGUCAAAAUAAAAAAA